rnacentral:rRNA from 1 species
AGUGGGGAAUUUUCCGCAAUGGGCGACAGCCUGACGGAGCAAGACCGCGUGGGGGAGGAAGGCUCUUGGGUCGUAAACCCCUUUUCUCAAGGAAGAACACAAUGACGGUACUUGAGGAAUCAGCCUCGGCUAACUCCGUGCCAGCAGCCGCGGUAAUACGGAGGAGGCAAGCGUUAUCCGGAAUUAUUGGGCGUAAAGAGUCCGUAGGUGGUGGGGCAAGUCGGCGGUUAAAGCCUGGGGCUUAACUCCAGAGAAGCCGUGGAAACUGCACCACUAGAGGGCAGUAGGGGUAGAGGGAAUUCCCGGUGUAGCGGUGAAAUGCGUAGAGAUCGGGAAGAACACCAGUGGCGAAAGCGCUCUACUGGACUGCAACUGACACUGAGGGACGAAAGCUAGGGGAGCGAAUGGGAUUAGAUACCCCAGUAGUCCUAGCCGUAAACGAUGGAUACUAGGUGUUGUCUGUAUCGACCCAGACAGUGCCGGAGCUAACGCGAUAAGUAUCCCGCCUGGGGAGUACGCACGCAAGUGUG